GGAAGGCCGACACAGGAAGCGACCUCCGGGUGGGCGGAUGUCAUGAGGUUAGGUUCACCAUGCAUGGUUAAAGAACUCGAAUCGAUUCGUCUGCCUCUCACAGUUUGAGACUGCUUGAUCGCUAUGUCACCCUGAGUAAAUGAGGAAUCUGAUGAUGACAUGGUUUUGUUGAUAUAUAUAUCUUGUUUUGGUUCUAUGAUUGCUUAGAAUAGGUUGCAAAACCU
rnacentral:lncRNA from 1 species